GAUGAACGCUGGCGGCGUGCCUAAUACAUGCAAGUCGAGCGAACAGACGAGGAGCUUGCUCCUCUGACGUUAGCGGCGGACGGGUGAGUAACACGUGGAUAACCUACCUAUAAGACUGGGAUAACUUCGGGAAACCGGAGCUAAUACCGGAUAAUAUAUUGAACCGCAUGGUUCAAUAGUGAAAGACGGUUUUGCUGUCACUUAUAGAUGGAUCCGCGCCGCAUUAGCUAGUUGGUAAGGUAACGGCUUAACAAGGCAACGAUGCGUAGCCGACCUGAGAGGGUGAUCGGCCACACUGAAACUGAGACACGGUCCAUACUCCUACGGGAGGCAGCAGUAGGGAAUCUUCCGCAAUGGGCGAAAGCCUGACGGAGCAACGCCGCGUGAGUGAUGAAGGUCUUCGAAUCUUAAAACUCUGUUAUUAGGGAAGAACAAAUGUGUAAGUAACUAUGCACGUCUUGACGGUACCUAAUCAGAAAGCCACGGCUAACUACGUG
rnacentral:rRNA from 1 species